rnacentral:lncRNA from 1 species
AUUAUUCCAGUAUUCACAUCCCAAUUCCUUCACGGUCUUGCCUCUAUUCGUCUCUCGUCUCAUCCUCUCCACCUCUCUCUCCGUCUCAGUCUCCGGCCUCCGCCUCUCACGAUCUCACCUCGACAACUAUGUUCUUCAAUCUCGACGGCCCGACCUCUCUUCCGAGUUCCAACGUCAGGUAAAUAUAUAUGGCAUACUACUAAUGUUCAAUCCCUUCCUCACACUUACGGAUCUGGAAACAGGACAUGUAAAUUAAUGUAAAUCUAGAAACAUGACGCCUUUCCUUGGAUCAAGUUGGUGAUUUUUGAAACUGGGUCUUUAUUAUUUCUUUCAAUUUUGGUGCAUAAAUGGUUGCCCGGUUAAACAAUUUGAAGAAACCGGCGCACUUAUGACUUUCUGUUGUUGAUUGUAAUUUGUAAUGUUGUAACCUGUUUAGUGUUAAGGUAACUGUUAAUUAUGGAAGCCUUUUAUUUCAGUUAUUCGGUUAUUAGCUAAUUCGAUUAACAAUUCGGAUACUAAAAAUGCGUUAAUUUCGAUUUUCAGCUAUAACCGAAUAGUUUAUUCGGUUCGGUUUGGUUAUAACCGAAUGCUCACUCCUAAUUACAAUUGUAUUAAUCAUUUAAGAUCAAGUUUACUAGCUUUAUCAAUAUUCGUGAUAUUAUAGAUUCAGUUCGACUCGAUUUACACUUCUAUGAGUGCAUUUUAAGCAAACAAAUUUCUUCUCACUUUUGAGAAGAAAGUUAAAGAAAAGAAAAUAAAACAUUCUCUUCUCUUCUCUUUUUUUUUUCUUUAAUUGAAAAACUCUCAGCCACUAUGUUAUUUUGUUAAGAAAAGAAGCUAAGGAAAAUCUAUUCGAAUAUCUCCAAUUCUUAUAUUUGUGAGUUUUUUAAGAAAGAACGAAAGAGAUUUUGAAAUAAAAUUAAUUUUAUUGUUGAGUUAAAACCUUCACCGAAAAGGUAGAGGAUUUAGAAAGACGAUUACAUAUUUUACAUUACCAAAAAUAAUAUUUAAAAUAUUAAAUAAUAGAAAUUGAUAUUUUUAUAAAUUUUUUUUGAUAUUGUCAACAUAUUAAUCAUUAAAAAUUCAACACAUCAACUAAUAAUUAUAUAUGUAAAAAUAUAAAAAAUGACGUAGAAAUAUCAAUUUCCUUAAAUAAUAUACCAUUGUUCUCUCCUCUUCACUCUGUUGAGUUCUACCGUGCUUGCUCCGCCGUUCGCUUGUCUGCCAUUAAUUUUCCGGUUUGCUGUUUUUUUGUUGAAAUCUCUGGUAAGAUCCCCAAAUCAUGUACCCUAAUUUUUUCAAAUUGAUAACUCAAAUUUGUUUUAAUCAAAUUUUAUCCUCUACUCGUUCAUCUUUAUUCAUUACCUUGUUUUCAUGAAUAUGGAUCCUCAAUAUUGUGAGGUAAAUGAAUUGAUAGCUUUUCUGAGAUUCUUUUUCCUAUGAUGGUAGUUGGGGGUUUUAGUCCUUUCGGGGUUCCAUAGAUUAAUACUCUCUGUAGAAUCCAGUAGCUAGAAAUAGUUUUACUGUCUGUGUCCUUGGAUCUAUCUCUAUUUUUGUGUUGAAUGUGGAGUUUGUGUGAAAUGUGGGAUCAUUCAAUCUCUCUCUUUUUAAUUUGUUUUCCUGUUGUGAAGGUGCAAUUAUGAAGCAGAGUCUGUGAUGUAUUGAAGCCCACCAUUAACUAUUAGCUUUAUUUUUGUUAUGAUAAAUUCAAAAAGUCAUUGUCCCAAAGUUAUUUGGUUUCACAAAUUAACUGACAAAUUAACUUUUAGCCAAAUUAACUGUCACAAAGAAAAUGACAUAGCCUUCUAUGGAAUUGGAGGAGUAUUCCGGGUAUCAAUUGUUAGAAAGUUAGGUUGGUUAUUUUUUUUUUCUUAGUUACAAUAGUGGUAUAGGGAUUCUUAUAACUAGCAUAAUAUACAAAUAGUACUAUAGUAAAUAUACUGCUGCUGCUUUCUAAAGUGAAGUUGUCCAAAAGUAUUAAAUGGGUAUGCUACAAAUAAUGUGAGCUUUUUUUGGUGUCCCUAUGGGAGUAUUCUGUAGUCAAAGUUGAUUAUAAAGUAUUUAAUAGUCAAUUUAUUUUGUACCAUUUAUUUUUCAUAGAUGUAAUUUAGAAAAAAGAAAAAAAAUCUUCAUACGCACAUUUAUGGUACACAAGACGAUAUUUUUGAGAAGGGAUGUUAUCCUCUUGACUAUUUGAUAAUUGAUAUUUCAUGUGCGUGUGCAUGUUAGAUAUGAUGUAGUAUUCUCGACUCAAUAAUAACACCUCUUGUCUAGUUCAAUGCGGGUGGCAUGUGGUACGAGGAUGUGGGGUGGGGGAGAAGGAAAAGUGAAUGGUGAAUAUAGGUUGGUUUUCCCUAAAUUAGGGCAUGUUAGGACAAGGCCUCCUCCCCCCAAAACAGGGUCACUCAUUGACAAAUGUGACCUGUCUUUGUUGUAUUCGAGUCCUGGACCAAGAGCUACUAGCUACCUUACCUGUCAUUAUUACUAAUAGUAGUAUUUAUUUUUGGCGGUGGCAGAAAUCUAUGUAUUUUGAAAGGUUUUCAUUUUCAUCAGUCACCCUCAUCUAAUCUAAUCUAAUCUAAUCUAAUCUAAUCAAUUUCAUCAUUAUUCAUUCAUUCAUGUCAUUAUUACUAAUAUAUAUAUAUAUAUAUAUAUAUAUGAUAAUCAAAUGCAUUUGAACUCUUGUAAAACCUUGUGUAUUAUAAUUAUAAUGACAUUCUUCUGUCUUGCAGACAACUUGGUAUUCUUAAAAUUGAUAGCAUAACCCAUAAAGAGGAUUAUAAUUUGAUGUAGGUAUGAGCAGAACAUUAUGUUUCUGGUCUUCGUCAUAAUUUGAUGCAGCUCUUGUCCUUCUGUUAGAAUUUUUUUUUGUGGGAGCAAAAAUAUUUGACUAUUAGAUGACCUUUUUCGUAUUGGACAGAGAAUUUAUUGUAGUCAUAAUUAGAGAAGUUAUUACUCUUCUUACGCACUAUUAUUUAGGGUUUUAUUAGGGUUCUUUUAAAUACUUAUUGUGUAAUAUAUCUACCAACCUUGUGAAUUUCUUCCUUUCUUUCUUUUUCACACCCACCCCACUCAGACUUGGAUAGAGAAAUUUCUCAGUAGUUUGAGUUUGACCCUUCUGAUCCAUUCUAUUUGUUGUUGUUGUUGUUGAGGAGGAGGAGGCAGAGGCAAGUACUACUAGCCUAGAUAUUAGGUAAUGUCACAUCACAAUUUCGUCCUUAUAUAUACACUGUAUUUUACUUGCUUUCUUUCUUUAAUUUGUUUGUGUACCUACCCGCACAGAAUACAAAUCGAUAUAAGUAUAUGUGAAAGAUGCCAUCUUUAUCUUUUCCCUCUUCAUUCAUUUCAUUUCGUUUGCAGAUUUCCAGGAUUUGAUAUACUCCUUUCUAACUAUAUAGAAGAAGGAGAAGAAGAAUGGCUCAGCUUUGUUGCUCUCCUCUCCCCAAUCACUACCACCAUCUCAACCCAAAUCGCGCCAUUUCCCCUCUUCCUGAUUAUAACAAUCUCACUUUCUCUUCCUUCUCCCUACCCUUCUUUGCUCCAUCUCUCUCCAUCUCUCCUUUUCCAACUAAUCCAUUCAACUUGCCCAAAUCCCAUAUUCCUUGAUAGACUCCACGGCACGCUUGCGUGAGGUGGUUGUUGCCCGGAUCGUUUCUAGCACAGUUGUUGGGUGAAUUGCUUGCAAUAUCUUAACCCCUCGUCUAUACUUUAGACGGUAAUCUUGGUACAAUUGCUCGCGUUCGGAAUCUGCGUUUAAUGGACAUCAACAACACCUUGACCCCUCGCUUAUAUUGAAGCGGUAAUCUCGAUACAAUCGACGAUUGAUGCGGUAGAAGACGCCACACACAACUAUGAACUGUUGUAUGAUAAGUCAAAUUGAAUCUCAAAGAAAUUACUAAGAAAAUACUAUUUUCUUAGGAAUUCUUCAAAGAACCAAAAGUAGAGAAUAAACUCACAAAUAUAUUGAAGAAUGAAUAAUGUGUUUGAUUACAUCAACUUAGACCUCUAUUUAUACUACUCAAAACGAUUCAAAUCCUAAUAGGAAUUUAUAAACUAUAACCCUAAUAGAAGUCAAUUUGGAAAAGAAUUCUAAUUAAAAAAAGAAGUCCUAAUUACAAUAGAAUUAUAAAAAUCUAAAAAUCAUUGCUGAAUAUGUAAUUCGUGGGCUUAGUAAGAGCAGAAUUGGGCUUGUAUUAAAUUGACCCAAAUUUGUGUCUCAUCCUUCUCUUUGGGUUUCCUUGUGUUAGCUUCAGCCCAAACAUCUUGGAUCAAUCCAUUGAGAUCUUGUUUGAACCUUUUAGUUCUAGCCUUCCUUGAUCCCCACGUCCCUUUAGUCUUGUUUGGGUCCAUGCAUGCCAUGUCCUCAUCAUUCCUCUCCUCUUGAAAAGGAUUUGUCCUCAAAUUGUCACCUACAUCAAACGGACUUAGAUCAGUAACGUUAAAUGUGGUACUAACAUUAUACUCAACUGGCAAAUCCAAUUUAUAGGCAUUGUCAUUGAUACGCUUGAGAACUUGAAAUGGACCAUCUCCCCUCGGAAGCAAUUUCGAACGUCUUUGAACGGGGAAUCUUUCUUUCCGUAUAUGUAACCACACCCAAUCUCCGGGUUCAAAGAUCACUUGAUGUCGUCCCUUGUUCGCGUGCUUAAUGUACUGUUCCGUCCUCCGUUCAAUCCGUUCACAAAUAUCGAAUCAUGAUCAUGCUUAGACCUAGGUAAACCCAACACAAAGUCCAUAGAAAGAUCAAUCCAAGGUUCAUUAGGAAUAGGCAAUGGUGUAUACAAUCCAUAGGGUUGAACACAAGAUUUAGCUUGGCGACAAGUAGUUAUCACAUAUUCUUUCCACAUCUCGUUUCAUAUGAGGCCAAUAAAAAUGUUCUUUCAAAAUAGUAAAAGUUUUAUCAACGCCAAAAUGUCCCAUUAAACCACCCCCAUGUGAUUCCCUAACCAACAACUCACGCAAAGAACAUGCAAGAAUACAUAAUUUAUUUUCACGAAACAAGAAUCCGUCAAUUCUAAAGUAUUUACCCACAACAUUCUUUUCACAAAUUUUAAACUCUUCACCGAAAUCAAGGUCAUUAUCAUAUAACUCUUUAAUUCGUUCAAACCCAAUCAAUUUCGUAUCAAGAGUAUUUAACAAAACAUACCUGCGAGACAAAGCAUCUGCAACGACGUUCUCCUUACCUUGCUUAUAUCGAAUAACAUAUGGAAAUGUCUCGAUAAAUUCCAUCUAUCGUGCAUGCCUUUUGUUCAACUUGUGCUGACCCUUAAAUUUUUCAAUGAUUCAUGAUCGGUGUCAGUGGAUCACAAACUCCUUAGGCCACAAGUAAUGUUGCCAUGUCUCCAAAGCUCUAACCAAAGCGUACAUCUCUUUGUCAUAUGUAGGAUAGUUCAAAGCUGCCCCACUCAACUUUUCGCUAAAAUACGCCACUGGUUUCCCUUCUUGCAUCAACACAGCUCCAAUCCCUAAACCUGAAGCAUCACACUCAAUCUCAAAAGUUUUAGCAAAGUUAGGCAAAAUAAGUAAAGGAGCAUUUGUCAAUUUAUCCUUAAUCAAAUUAAAUGCUUUUUCCUGUUCA